GGUGCGCAGGCGGAUUGGUAAGUCAGGGGUGAAAUCCCACAGCUCAACUGUGGAACUGCCUUUGAUACUGUCAGUCUAGAGUAUAGUUGAAGUUGGCGGAAUGUGUCAUGUAGCGGUGAAAUGCUUAGAUAUGACACAGAACACCGAUCGCGAAGGCAGCUGACUAAGCUAUAACUGACGCUCAUGCACGAAAGCGUGGGGAUCAAACAGGAUUAGAUACCCUGGUAGUCCACGCUGUAAACGAUGAUUACUCGAUGUUGGCGAUACACAGUCAGCGUCUGAGCGAAAGCAAUAAGUAAUCCACCUGGGGAGUACGAUCGCAAGAUUGAAACUCAAAGGAAUUGACGGGGGCCCGCACAAGCGGAGGAGCAUGUGGUUUAAUUCGAUGAUACGCGAGGAACCUUACCUGGGCUCGAACGUAAGAUGACUAUGGGUGAAAGCUCAUAUCUCUUCGGAGCAUUUUACGAGGUGCUGCAUGGUUGUCGUCAGCUCGUGCCGUGAGGUGUCGGGUUAAGUCCCAUAACGAGCGCAACCCCUACCUUUAGUUGCCAACAGGUAAAGCUGGGGACUCUAAAGGAACUGCCUACGCAAGUAGUGAGGAAGGCGGGGAUGACGUCAA
rnacentral:rRNA from 1 species